UGCCUCCAUGGGAGUUGGCUGAACUGUGGGU
rnacentral:piRNA from 1 species